CAGGCCUAACACAUGCAAGUCGAGCGGAUGAUGGGAGCUUGCUCCCGGAUUCAGCGGCGGACGGGUGAGUAAUGCCUAGGAAUCUGCCUGGUAGUGGGGGACAACGUUUCGAAAGGAACGCUAAUACCGCAUACGUCCUACGGGAGAAAGCAGGGGACCUUCGGGCCUUGCGCUAUCAGAUGAGCCUAGGUCGGAUUAGCUAGUUGGUGGGGUAAAGGCCUACCAAGGCGACGAUCCGUAACUGGUCUGAGAGGAUGAUCAGUCACACUGGAACUGAGACACGGUCCAGACUCCUACGGGAGGCAGCAGUGGGGAAUAUUGGACAAUGGGCGAAAGCCUGAUCCAGCCAUGCCGCGUGUGUGAAGAAGGUCUUCGGAUUGUAAAGCACUUUAAGUUGGGAGGAAGGGCAGUAAGUUAAUACCUUGCUGUUUUGAC
rnacentral:rRNA from 1 species